GGAGAGACAUGAAAAUGCAGAAGUCAUUGCAGGCCAUUCUUAGCCGGUAUCCCAAAUUAAGUGCCAUGUAAAAAGGAUAUCUCAUGAGCAUCAAUCUGAGGUAAUAACUGACAAUGCGAACCAAAAUCAGACCAUGAAUAACAACUAAAAUCACCAACCAAAGUCUUAUGGGCUAGACGAUCCACUUAGUUUGCCUCAUGGUGCACAUGAAAAAAAAAAAUAUGAAAG
rnacentral:lncRNA from 1 species